GGAAGUAAAGGUCGUAACAAGGUUUCCGUAGGUGAACCUGCGGAAGGAUCAUUAUUGUAUAACCGAGGUGCGAGGGCUGUCGCUGACCCGAAAGGUCGUGCACGCCCGAGUGCCCUCACACACAUCCAUCUCACCCCUAUGUGCACCACCGCGUGGGUCCCCCUUUGGCUUGUUCGGAGGGGGGCUUACGUUUUCACACAAACUUUGUAUGCAGUGUAGAAUGUAUUUUUUGUUUUUGCGAUCACGCAAUCAAUACAACUUUCAACAACGGAUCUCUUGGCUCUC
rnacentral:misc_RNA from 1 species